UACGUAGGUUGCAAGCGUUGUCCGGAAUUACUGGGUGUAAAGGGCGUGUAGGCGGAGAUGCAAGUUGGGAGUGAAAUCCAUGGGCUCAACCCAUGAACUGCUUUCAAAACUGCAUCCCUUGAGUAUCGGAGAGGCAAGCGGAAUUCCUAGUGUAGCGGUGAAAUGCGUAGAUAUUAGGAGGAACACCAGUGGCGAAGGCGGCUUGCUGGACGACAACUGACGCUGAGGCGCGAAAGCGUGGGGAGCAAACAGG
rnacentral:ncRNA from 2 species